rnacentral:tRNA from 1 species
GGGUCCAUAGCUCAGCGGCAGAGCGCUCGGCUCAUAACCGAAUGGUCGCAGGUUCGAUCCCUGCUGGACCCA